UGGCGGCACUAGCGCGGUGGUCCCACCUGACCCCAUGCCGAACUCAGAAGUGAAACGCCGUAGCGCCGAUGGUAGUGUGGGGUCUCCCCAUGUGAGAGUAGGGAACCGCCAGGU
rnacentral:rRNA from 1 species